rnacentral:rRNA from 1 species
GGGCCCGCACAAGCGGUGGAGCAUGUGGUUUAAUUCGAUGCAACGCGAAGAACCUUACCAGGGUUUGACAUACUACAAAUUCUUUUGAGAAAAAGAAGUGCCUUCGGGAAUGUAGAGACAGGUGGUGCAUGGCUGUCGUCAGCUCGUGUCGUGAGAUGUUGGGUUAAGUCCCGCAACGAGCGCAACCCUUAUUCUUAGUUGAUUCUAUUGCUCUAGGAAGACUGCCGAUGACAAAUCGGAGGAAGGUGAGGAUGACGUCAAGUCAGUAUGCCCCUUAUACCCUGGGCUACACACGUGCUACAAUGGUUAAGACAAAGAGUCGCGAGCUUGCGAGAGUCAGCUAAUCUCAUAAACUUAGCCUAAGUUCAGAUUGUAGGCUGCAACUCGCCUGCAUGAAGUUGGAAUCGCUAGUAAUCG